CAACCCUCAAGCUCUGCUUGGUGUUGGGCCACGCCCUCGCGGCCGGCCCCAAAGCCAGUGGCGGCGCCGUCCGGCUCUAAGCGUAGUACAUCUCUCGCUCUAGGGCCCGGCGGCUGCCUGCCAGAACCCCAAACUCUUAU
rnacentral:misc_RNA from 2 species